GUCAAAUCUCCCCACCUCUUUAUUCUUGGGAUAUAAGCCAUAGGAGUGAGCCAUAAUGGGUGUCCAGCCCAGAUGACCCACAGGAUGACUGCAACAGUGUGGGCCCUAAACAAGAACCAGUCAGGGAUGUGAACACCUCCAUCGUGGAGCUCCUGAUUAUGGUGUACGCGUGUAAGACCUCUUGUGCCAAGAGCAUCAUUGGCGUGAUCCCCUGCUUUCCUUACAGCACAUAGAGCAAGAUGAGGAAAAGAGGCUCCAUCAUCUCUAAAUUCUUGGCCUCCAUGAUGUGCAAAGCUGGAAGCCCACCAGGAAUAAGACUUUGGACUCUCCCCUAUGAAGAGGAUGCUCUGCCUGGGACUUCCCUGUUGGGAAAGCUGCCCUGGGACUCCCCAGCUCCCUGGCUUUCAGGUGCUGGUGUUUUCUCGCAAGAGCAGCUGGUCAUCCUGGAGCCAAAUGUCAAUUUUUCAUAUUGAUGCCACAACCUGGAUAAAUAUUUAUCUCUGCCUUCUGACAACAAUGAACUGCUGUAGCUGUUAAGAUCACCCAUGGAAGAGAACAAAAAUCAUAGCAAGUAGCAAAUCAAGGGCCCUGGGAAUGUGUCCUUUUGAUGGCUCCUUAACAGUUUUUAUCCUUUAUGUUGUUUGUCCUUGGGGAAUGAUGGCAAGAACAUCUUGGCCCCAGUGAAGUACAGGGCUCUGAAGCUGAUAAGGUUGAUUUGGGGGAAUGGAUAAGGCACAUACCAAGCUUUCAAUAACUAACAAGCUACAAGUUAAUGUAGGAGAGCAAAGAGAGAACUCACACUAUCUUUUAUAUUUUGCUAGGCAAGAACUCUACCACUGAGCCCAGCCCCAGCCCUACACUCUCUUUUAAUGGCUGUUGAGCCAUGAGUUAAGGUCCAGGAGUGCAUUUGCCCCUACGGUGGUCUCUGUCUUACUGGUCUUUGAGUGUAGUUUCAGUUCCUUGUCAUGAAGAUGCUUACCAAUUGGACCUGUGGUUUAUAGAAUCCAGUGCAAUUGCAGAAGAAAGUAGCUCAGGAGAAAAAACACUGAAGAGGCAAAUGGAAUCAGAGAGGGACAAAAUGGAGUUGGUUAGGUCAGUGGCUGGGUCCUAUUCUGGAGGAGGACACGUUUUGGAUCAAAUAUCACAAACUCUCAUUUUUCUUGCUGUAUUUAGUGAAUUUUCUUGAAUAAAUAUUUCUUCAUUUGCUGCAUGUUUUUGGAUAAAGUUCAGUGACUAAUUUCUUCACAAAAUAAUUUUCACCAGUUUCCCUUGGGAGCAGAUCCCCAGAGCUAUUCAGAUGGUCACGUCAGAAGUAGAACACAGGGCAGAAGACUCUUAGAUGCAUUCCUUUGUGUGAAAGGGAGUUGGACACAAAAUAUUGUAUUCAAAAUGUUAAAUCUGGAUGGCAUACUCAAAAAGGCAAAACCAUGGAGAUUAAAAAAAAACAAUAAGUAGGUACCAGGAAUUGGGAGUAGGAAGAGGGGUUGACUAUGAAGGGGCAGCAGGAGGGAAUUCUGGGGUUGCUGGAACUUUUCUGCAUGGCACUUCAGUGUGAGGAGAGGACUCCAUAAUUUUGCUAUGGACUGAAAUGUGUCCCCCACAAUUCAUAUGUUGAAGCCCCAACUUCUAGUGUGAGUGUAUUUGGAGAUAGGAUCUAUAAGGUAAUUGACAUUAAAUGAGGUUAUGAGGAGGGGACCCUAAUCCUAUAGGACUAGUGUUCUUAUAAGAAAAGGAAGAAUCACCAAAGUGCUCUCUCCAUGUGUAUUGAACACAUGGGAACUGAGAGAAGGCAACUGGCUAUCCUUAAACCAGGAUGAGGGUCCUCACCAGAAACCAACCCUGAUGGCAUAUUGAUAUUGGACUU